rnacentral:pre_miRNA from 1 species
CUCGUACUCCCUCCGUUCGGAAUUACUUGUCGUACAAAUGGAUGUAUCUAGAUGUAUUUUAGUUCUAGAUACAUCCAUUUUCGAGACAAGUAAUUCCGAACGGAGGGAGUAAAAC